GUUAGAUAGCUCAGAUCAUAAACUAAAUGAAUACAAAAUAAGACAAAUAGAGCUUAAUGUUAAGGCUUCUUUCUUAGUCUACUCCUCUAUACUUCCUGGUAGAAGUGGAAAGUUUGAAAGUAAGAAAUAUUCCCAAGAAGGAAAGUUUAAUAAUACUGUCUUUGAAAUAAUUGUUAAAUUGCUUAUUUUCUCUUUAUAAACUUGUACUACUUUUCAAAAGUCAGGAGUUUAUCUAGUUUGUACCAGUUUUGGGGAACCAGUUCUACAACAUAUAAUACUUUUGCUAUCUUCUCUUUUUGUGAUUAGAUAUUUAAACCAAAAAUGAAUCUUACCACUGUUUUUUUUUAAGAUUUUAUUUAUU